GGAGUGGACUGGACGGCCGCUGGCCGCGCGUACUAUGGCCGCCAUAUCGGCCCCAUGACCGCUGCGGCCGGAGGAAAGUCCGGGCGCCGCAGGACAGGGUGGUGGGUAACGCCCACCGACCGCGAGGUCAGGGAAAGUGCAACAGAAAGCAGACCGCCACGCGGCAGCCUUGGCCGAGGGACUUCCCGCGGCUGGGCGGCCGCGGGGUAAGGGUGAAACGGUGAGGUAAGAGCUCACCAGCAGGCCGGGUGACCGGCCUGGCUCGGCAAACCCCACCCGGAGCAAGGUCAAAUAGGGAGCAGCCCAACCGCUACGGCACCGUUUGCUGC
rnacentral:RNase_P_RNA from 1 species